rnacentral:lncRNA from 1 species
UUCCCCCAACUGGUUUCUGAUCUUAGGAAGGGGACGGCUCCAGAAAUAGCCCUGUCCCUGGUUCUUCAAGCUAAGACAUGCCAACCUAAGGCCUCCUGCAUCCGGAAUGGGCACGGUUCCAGGGGAGGGAGGUGGUUUUCUACCUCUAUGCAGUGGGCGGUCUUGGCAGCGGGCAGGUGCAGCCAGCCUCCCUGGGAAAAAAAAGUCUCAACUGUAGAAAUUGGAUGGCUCCCGAGAUGUGUUUUAAGUCACUGCAGUCGUUACACAAGAUCUUUCCUGAGCAUCUCAUUCGUUGUUAUCUAAAGAGCUGCCUUUCUCUCUUUACAACGUGUCUGCAUGGACUUGGGAGGAGUAAGAACGGGGAGAGAGAGUCUGGAUCAAGUCAAGACUGAAUCGUCAGGUCCUGGGAAGGUGCCACCACUUCUCAAGGAGUCCAGCUUGUUGCUUCCAAGUGAAGUCCCCUCCUUGGAGGAACAAGUGCUUUCAAGAAAGCUCACAGUGGGCCAUAGCCUGUCACCCACUUUCUGCUGCCACCCAGCCACGCAGCUCAAAGGGGUGCCAUUAUUCAGCACAGCUAUGUCAGCAGUGGGUGUGGGGCCUGAGCUGUGCCCCCUGCCCCUUCACCCCCCACACACACACACAAAGAAGUAGGUUGAAGCCCUAAGCCCUGGUGCCAGCGAAUGUGGCCUUAUUGGAAAUGUGAUCAAGUUCAGACCCAUCCAACGGUGUCAGAUGAGCCCUGGGUCCAUGAGCUGUGUCCUUGGGAGAAGAUGCAGAUGGGGCUCUGACAGCCCAGGAAGACAAGGCUGGUAGGCAGCCACCAGAAACCAGGGAGAGGCCAGCAAGGAGCUUCCUCCAAAACCCCAAGAAGGAACCAGUGGGGUGGACACCUCGAUUUCAGACUUCUGGCAUCCACAAGUGUGGGGCACUAAUUCUGUUGUUGCUGUUGUUGUUGUUUUAUGGCCACACCUGUGAGAUAUGCAAGUUCCCCAGCCAGGGAUUGAAUUUGAGCUGCAGCUGUGACCUGCAGCACAGCCAGAUCCCUUAAACCACUGAGCCGGGCUGGGGAUCAAACCUGAGCCUCGGCAGCAACCUGGAGCUACUGUAGUUGGAUCCAUUCCUUUCCUUUCCUUUGUCUUUUGAGGGCCACACCCCCGGCAUAUGGAAGUUCCCAGGCUAGAAGUUGAAUCAGAGCUGCAGCUGCCAGUCUACGCCACAGCCACAGCAACUCAGGAUCUGAAAUGUGUCUUUGACCUACACCACGGCUCACCGCAACGCUGGAUCCUUAACCCACUGAGCGGGGCCAGCAUCCUCAUGGAUACCAGUUGAAUGCAUAACCACCUAGCAACAGGGGGAACUCCGUGCCAUUGGAUUCUUAAUCACUGCACUGCAGCAAGAACUCCUAAUUUCUGUUGCUUUAAACCACCCGGUCUGCAGUGCUUUGGGACAGCAGCCAUUGAACACAAAUGCCCUGAGUGAGACCCUGAAAGGCCCCUUUUGAUCACUUGCAUAUGCAAAAGCAGCCGCCUGGCUGGUCUGCGUCCUUCUUUGCUAAUCUUUGCAUCUUUCAUCUCAUUUGAGCUUCAGAUCUGUGGAAGACCCAGCAAGGCCCUGUUGGGAUUGAACUGGCUCCGCAGGGAACAAAACGAGAUGUCUCCUCCCCAGCCCACCCUCCCAGCAAGGUCUUUUAGAGCAGAGCAGAGCAAAACAAGAAGAAACUGAUGCCAUGCGUGGGGUUUACAGGGGCUGGGGGAGGGAGAGAAGGUUCUAUCCAGGGCAGACCAGACGCCCUGCUGGGAGCCAGGCAGAGGAUACCUCAUCCUCGCCCACAUGAGAUGAGGGCCAGGGGGCCAGCCCUACGCGUGCUGUAUACACACAGAGAUUCCAGCUCAGGUCUCCUCGCUCCAACGAUUACACAAGAUUCUCCAUGGCCUGGUGCCUCAGGGUCUCCCUCCAGGGUCUCAGCGUGACUCCAUAACUAUAGCAGUGGCUCUUAAAGUCCCAGCAAAAAUCAGAUGGUCUGGGCACCUGUUAGAACCCCCACCACUCCCCCGCCCCAGGGUUUUGGAUGCAGUGGUCUGGUAGGACCCAGACUCUGUGCCGCUAACAAACACACCUCCGGGAUGGUGAGAGGUGGGUCCAGCUUCCAGGGGUGAGGACCAUUAGUUGAUUUGAACGUGGGACAGCAACUGGUGUGGGCCGAGCCCUGGCGUCCCCCCCCCUCAAGUGGAGGGAAGGGAAGGGGGGUAGUAAACCUUCUCUCCUGCACUGCCCUCCCCUCCCCAGCCCCCUCCUGACCUGUGCUUCCUGCCAGCUGCCUCCACGGGCAGUAACUCAGUGCUCUAACCCAUACCCUCCACCACCCUCUGUCCUUCUGUACCCAGAUGGCCAUUUCCCUGUUUGUCCCCAGUGAGUGGUGGAUUCAUGAGAUAAAGAGUCACAGAGGAGUUCCCGUCGUGGUGCAGUGGUUAACGAAUCCGACUAGGAACCAUGAGGUUGCGGGUUCGGUCCCUGCCCUUGCUCAGUGGGUUAACGAUCCGGCGUUGCUGUGAGCUGUGGUGUAGGUUGCAGAUGUGGCUCGGAUCCCGCGUUGCUGUGGCUCUGGCGUAGGCCAGUGGCUACAGCUCCGAUUCGACUCCUAGCCUGGGAACCUCCAUAUGCCGAGGGAGCGGCCCAAGAAAUGGCAAAAAGACAAAAAAAAAAAAAACCAAAAAACAAAAAGCAGAGGUGGUGUUCACAGAAGCAGAUGUGCCCGCCAGGGGAUGCCAUCUUUUCUUCCACGUUUGCUUGACCACGCUGCACCUUCUUUUUGGAAUUUUUGGGCUGUACAUUGUGCAAGGAGGUGAACUAGGUCCACGUAAAAUUCAUGUGUUAUGGAGUUCCCUUCGUGGCUCUGUGGUAACGAACCUGACUAGGAUCCAUGAGGAUGCAGGUUCAAUACCCAGCCGCGCUCAGUGGGUUAAGGAUGCAGAGUUGCCCUGAGCUAUGGCGUAGGUCGCAGAUGAGGCUUGGAUCGCAAGUUGCUGUGGCUGUGGUGUAGGCUGGCAGCUGUAGCUCCUAUUGGACCCCUAGCCUGGGAGCCUCCAUAUGCUGCAUGGGUACAGCCCUAAAAAACCCAAACAAACAAAAAAUUCGUGUGUUGUGUUCUUGACCUCUGGUCCCUCACAACGUGACUGUGUUUGGAGAAGGAUUUUAAAGAGGGGACUAAGGUAAAAUGAGGUCACUGGGGGGGGCCCUCCUCUGAUAUGACAGGUGUCCUUAUAAGAAGAGGGGAUCAGGGAGUGCCUGCUGUGGCUCAGCAGAAAUGAAUCUGACCAGCAUCCAUGAGGACGCAGGUUCGAUCCCUGGCCUGGCUCAGUGGGUUAAGGAUCUGGCAUUGCCCUGAGCUGUGGUGUAGGUCACAGACGUGGCUCGGAUCCUGCGUUGCUGUGGCUGUGGUGUAGGCCAGCGGCUACAGCUCUGAUUCGACCCCUAGCCUGGGACCCUCCAUGGGCCGUGGGUGCGGCCCUGAAAAAAACAAAAAAAAAAAAGGAAGAAGAAGAGAGAUUCGCAGACACAAAAAAGGAACUGAUGGUUACCAAAGGGGAGGGUAAGAUGUAGGGAGGAUGAACUGGGAGUUUGGGAUUAGCAGAUACACACUGGCAUAUGCAAAUAAACUACGGCAUAAACUAUGCA